rfam:Anabaena sp. 90 chromosome chANA01, complete sequence.
GUCAGUAACUCAGGGCUAAAGCCACUGAGCUUGUAAGAGUAAUCAAGCAAGCUGUACUGACCAGACCACCCUGAGCGUAGUCGUUCGCGAAGCGUCCCGUAGGGUAGGGUAGCCGUUAUUUGAGUCAAGACACCGGAGAAUGCGACGCCCCUUCGGGGUUCAGCAGUCGCUCAUGGGGGAAACCCCCAAGACCGCGCUGCUUCACUAGUUUUCCGCUCUGUCGUUUGUAAUUAAACAGUUUUAAAGUCACUGAAACAGUGUUGCAAGCCUAAAAAGCUCAGAUAACAAGGUCAAAGCGAACAUCAC